AGGGAAUCUUGCGCAAUGGGCGAAAGCCUGACGCAGCCAUGCCGCGUGAAUGAUGAAGGUCUUAGGAUUGUAAAAUUCUUUCACCGGGGAAGAUAAUGACGGUACCCGGAGAAGAAGCCCCGGCUAACUUCGUGCCAGCAGCCGCGGUAAUACGAAGGGGGCUAGCGUUGCUCGGAAUUACUGGGCGUAAAGGGCGCGUAGGCGGCCACCGCAAGUCGACUGUGAAAUCUCCGGGCUUAACUCGGAAAGGUCAGCCGAUACUGCGGGGCUAGAGUGCAGAAGGGGCAACUGGAAUUCUCGGUGUAGCGGUGAAAUGCGUAGAUAUCGAGAGGAACACCUGCGGCGAAGGCGGGUUGCUGGGCUGACACUGACGCUGAUUGUGCGAAAGCUAGGGGAGCGAAC
rnacentral:rRNA from 1 species